UACGUAGGUGGCAAGCGUUGUCCGGAUUUAUUGGGUUUAAAGGGUGCGUAGGCGGUUUUGUAAGUCAGUGGUGAAAUAUGUCAGCUUAACUGAGAGGGUGCCAUUGAUACUGCAGAACUUGAGUACAGAUGAGGUAGGCGGAAUUGACGGUGUAGCGGUGAAAUGCUUAUAUAUCGUUAAGAACUCCUAUAGCGAAGGCAGCUUACUAGGCUGUAACUGACGCUGGGGCACUAAAGUGUGGGGAUCAAACAGG
rnacentral:rRNA from 1 species